ACGCUCGACACCUAUGGGAGGCAGCAGUGGGGAAUAUUGCACAAUGGGGGAAACCCUGAUGCAGCGACGCCGCGUGAGCGAAGAAGUAUCUCGGUAUGUAAAGCUCUAUCAGCAGGGAAGAAAAUGACGGUACCUGACUAAGAAGCACCGGCUAAAUACGUGCCAGCAGCCGUGGUAAUCUGAGCGGGCUGGCAAGGC
rnacentral:rRNA from 1 species